UACGUAGUGUGCGAGCGUUGUCCGGAAUUAUUGGGCGUAAAGAGCUUGUAGGCGGUCUGUCGCGUCUGCUGUGAAAAUCCGGGGCUCAACCCCGGACUUGCAGUGGGUACGGGCAGACUAGAGUGUGGUAGGGGAGACUGGAAUUCCUGGUGUAGCGGUGAAAUGCGCAGAUAUCAGGAGGAACACCGAUGGCGAAGGCAGGUCUCUGGGCCACUACUGACGCUGAGAAGCGAAAGCAUGGGGAGCGAACAGG
rnacentral:rRNA from 1 species